UCCCUUCUCAAGGUCAGCAGGACUCC
rnacentral:piRNA from 1 species